rnacentral:misc_RNA from 1 species
CGAAAUGCGAUAAGUAAUGCGAAUUGCAGAAUUUCCGUGAGUCAUCGAAUCUUUGAACGCACAUUGCGCCCGCCAGCACUCUGGCGGGCAUGCCUGUUCGAGCGUCAUUUCAACCCUCAGAACCCCUUGCGGGAUCUGGCGUUGGGGAUUGGCAUCCAGCCAGCCCCGAAAUCUAGUGGCGGUCCCUCCGCGACCUCCCCUGUGCAGUAGCGAUACCUCGCAGCGGGACAGCGGUCUGACCACGCCGUAAAACCCCCAACUUCUCAAGGUUGACCUCGAAUCAGGUAGGAAUACCCGCUGAACUUAAGC